UACGGGGGGGGCAAGCGUUGUUCGGAAUUACUGGGCGUAAAGGGCUCGUAGGUGGCCAACUAAGUCAGACGUGAAAUCCCUCGGCUUAACCGGGGAACUGCGUCUGAUACUGGAUGGCUUGAGUUCGGGAGAGGGAUGCGGAAUUCCAGGUGUAGCGGUGAAAUGCGCAGAUAUCAGGAAGAACACCCGUGGCGAAAGCGGCUCUCUGGAACGGUACUGACGCUGAGACGCGAAAGCGUGGGGAGCGAACAGG
rnacentral:rRNA from 1 species